rnacentral:rRNA from 1 species
UCCAGACUCCUACGGGAGGCAGCAGUGGGGAAUAUUGCACAAUGGGGGAAACCCUGAUGCAGCGACGCCGCGUGAGUGAAGAAGUAUUUCGGUAUGUAAAGCUCUAUCAGCAGGGAAGAAAAUGACGGUACCUGACUAAGAAGCCCCGGCUAACUACGUGCCAGCAGCCGCGGUAAUACGUAGGGGGCAAGCGUUAUCCGGAUUUACUGGGUGUAAAGGGAGCGUAGACGGCAGCGCAAGUCUGAAGUGAAAUCCCAUGGCUUAACCAUGGAACUGCUUUGGAAACUGUGCAGCUGGAGUGCAGGAGAGGUAAGCGGAAUUCCUAGUGUAGCGGUGAAGUGCGUAGAUAUUAGGAGGAACACCAGUGGCGAAGGCGGCGUACUGGACUGUAACUGACGUUGAGGCUCGAAAGCGUGGGGAGCAAACAGGAUUAGAUACCCGCGUUUCG